rnacentral:lncRNA from 1 species
CGGGGCGGGAUGGGCGUGGGCAGCAAGACUGGCGGAGGGAAGAACCGGAGCGCGGGAGUCCGCAGGUGCUGACCUCUGCAGCAGGGCCUGUGCCCCCUAGUCGCCUCGCCUGGGUUCCCGCGGGCGUCUGUGGGUCUCUAAGGCAUCCCUUCCAGGGUGAUACCCUUUUUGUGGGAGUCCAAUCAGAGCGAACCUUUUGGGCGGUAAAUUAUCAUGCUGUGGGCGUGUUUCAAAGAUGAGGUUCCUGAAGCCCUCCAGUGUCUGGAGGCAGCCCUGUCCUUGGCUGUCCUGUGUCCUGGGAGUCCCAGCACUGCGGUCCGCCUGCCUCUGCUCUGCGUGCCGGGCUGCCUGGCUCCCUUUGUGCGCAUCCACUCAGAGACUACAUCUUCUGCCAGACAACUUGUAUCUACAGACGCAGGCAAGAGGAGAAUCCCAUCAUCCCUGCUGGGCUUUGUCUCCCGCUUUCCUUUUCCACUGCUCUAGUACAGUCCAGCUGCGUACAGAGGCUCUUCGGCGCAGAAGCCUGAGUGAACAUCACGUGUCAACACGGCUCAGAAGCGUGUCGCUAGGUUCCACAUGCCCUGCGAGUCAUCAGCCACCGUGUCAGCCAAGUUGCCACUGUAAGAGCUUGAUUGCUCAUGAAGCUGUUACCAGGAACAACUUCGCUCCUUCUCUCGUAAAGAUCUAUGCCAUUUGCAAAGCUGCACCGAGCGCAGCACUGUGCUUUGUGUACAAGGCUGUUUGA